CAAACCGUUUCCAUAAUUUGCGAGACUUUCAAACACUAUAAAACUGAAGCUUUCUUCACCGAUUUACCGACACAACUCCGCAACAUUGUUUCGCACAUCCCUCUUCACUGUUCGACACCCUCACAAACCCUUCAUCCUCUCGACACCUACCAUUCAAGUUUCCACAUCACUUGAAAAACCCACACACCUUCACCACAUCUUUACGCUCAAACCGCAUACUCGUCGGAGAAGUCGGGUCGUCGCUGUAGAGUUACGGGCCUCGCCGGACCUGCAAGUGGCCGGACACGUAUCCACGCCGGAGUUCGCCUGAGUUCGAGACGUCGCCAAAGAACCGAACGCCGUCGGAGUUCACGUUAACUGUUCGGAUAAACCGUUCGCUCUCUUGGAAAUUUCUAAUCUUUACUCGUGCGUUAUUACAAGAAAACGCAACGCAAUCAGUGUUGAUAGUCAAGAUGAUGAAAAGGGUAGUUGCACGGUACCCCUGACC